GGCUUUGAAACCGGGACGCUAGUUUCGGUGGAGCCGACCUUGAAAUACCACCCUGGUUUGUUUGAGGUUCUAACCUUGGCCCGUGAAUCCGGGUCGGGGACAGUGCAUGGUAGGCAGUUUGACUGGGGCGGUCUCCUCCCAAAGUGUAACGGAGGAGUUCGAAGGUACGCUUGGUACGGUCGGACAUCGUACCUAAAGUGCAAUGGCAAAAGCGUGCUUAACUGCGAGACCGACAAGUCGAGCAGGUGCGAAAGCAGGACAUAGUGAUCCGGUGGUUCUGUAUGGAAGGGCCAUCGCUCAACGGAUAAAAGGUACUCUAGGGAUAACA
rnacentral:rRNA from 1 species